rnacentral:rRNA from 1 species
GUAGGGAAUAUUGGGCAAUGGAGGCAACUCUGACCCAGCCAUGCCGCGUGCAGGAAGACGGUCCUCUGGAUUGUAAACUGCUUUUGAAUGGGAAGAAACGCACUUUUGCGAAAGUGUUUGACGGUACUAUUAGAAUAAGCACCGGCUAACUCCGUGCCAGUAGCCGCGGUAAUACGGAGGGUGCAAGCGUUAUCCGGAUUUAUUGGGUUUAAAGGGUGCGUAGGCGGCUUGAUAAGUCUGGGGUUAAAGGCGGCAGCUUAACUGUACGCAUGCCCUAGAUACUGUUGAGCUUGAGUGACCUGGAGGUAGCUGGAAUUCCCUGUGUAGCGGUGAAAUGCAUAGAUACGGGGAGGAAUACCGAUUGCGAAGGCAUGUUACUACGGGUAAACUGACGCUGAUGCACGAAAGCGUGGCGAUCAAACAGGAUUAGAUACCCUGGUAGUCC